rnacentral:lncRNA from 1 species
GUUUUCCUCGUAAUGUUCCUUCAAAUAUUGCAUCUCCCUGAGGCCUUUCCUCUCCAGAUUAAUUGUUCUCUUGUCAUGCAGGUUUAUCUUUGAUGGACAUGAUUUCCUAGACUUUCACUACCCUGUUCAUCCUCCUUUCAAUGUAUUCUCAUUGGCGAUCUCUCCCUUCAAACAAUCCAGAACUGAAUGCAGUACUGCAGGUGUGAUCUAUCCAUGUGAUGCCCAGAAGGCUGAUUUAUUCAUUGACCUGGAAUCCCUCACUCAGUUCUAUUAUUACAGCCUAAGUCAGCGUUUUCUACUGUGAUCUGAUGCAUUUCCUGUUAGAGUAGAAUGACCUUAUAGUCUUUUUCAGAUGAAUUACUAUUAAUCUAGUUCUCUUCCACUGUGUAACAUUUCAUUUUGUUAGUUUACCUUUCUGAUCCGGGGUGAUGAUUGUGUUGGUUGGUAUCUCUUUAUAGCAAUUCUAUCAACAAAGCAAAUUGGUAACCUUGUUAGUUUUCAGUCAUUUAUCAAUUUGGCAUUCUAUAAAAAGCUGCAAAACCAAGGGGUCUGAGAUCUGACACCUGAAAUGGCUGCAAUCAUUCAAAGGCACCCCUUUUCCUAUCCCUUGCUGAUUGACCCCCUCCUAUUGUGCCUUUCAAUACAUAGCCUACAACUCUAUAUUUAGGGCAAUGACCAGCCAUCCACACAGGCUCCAAACACUUCUCACUCUUCUCUAGGAUAGCUUCCCCUGUGAGUUUGGUGUUAGACUGAGAAGGAUUAUGUUCCUCUCUCACCUCGACCGCCUAUUGUGUGACAUUAUACUCUUUCCUGGAACUUUCUGUUGUUUCAUGCCCUAUAAAAUAAUAAACAAUGGUGACAGC